rnacentral:rRNA from 1 species
CCUACGGGAGGCAGCAGUGGGGAAUAUUGGGCAAUGGGCGCAACCCUGACCCAGCCAUGCCGCGUGAGUGAAGAAGGUCUUCGGAUUGUAAAGCUCUUUCGAACGGGACGAGGAUGACGAUAACGUCCUAAGAAUCACCUGCCAACUCCGCGCCAGCAGCCGCGGGAUUACGGAGGGUGCGAGCGUUGUUUGGAAUUACGGGGCGGAAAGGGGGUGGAGGCGGGAGGGUAAGAUAGCGGUGAAGUGCCGGGGCUCAACCCCGGAACGGCUAUUGGGACUAUGUAUCUAGAGUAAUGGAGAGGAUAGCGGAAUUCCUAGUGUAGCGGUGAAAUUCGUAGAUAUUGGGAAGAACACCGGUGGCGAAGGCGGCUAUCUGGC